AGGAUGAACGCUGGCGGCGUGCCUAAUACAUGCAAGUCGAGCGAACGGACGAGAAGCUUGCUUCUCUGAUGUUAGCGGCGGACGGGUGAGUAACACGUGGAUAACCUACCUAUAAGACUGGGAUAACUUCGGGAAACCGGAGCUAAUACCGGAUAAUAUUUUGAACCGCAUGGUUCAAAAGUGAAAGACGGUCUUGCUGUCACUUAUAGAUGGAUCCGCGCUGCAUUAGCUAGUUGGUAAGGUAACGGCUUACCAAGGCAACGAUGCAUAGCCGACCUGAGAGGGUGAUCGGCCACACUGGAACUGAGACACGGUCCAGACUCCUACGGGAGGCAGCAGUAGGGAAUCUUCCGCAAUGGGCGAAAGCCUGACGGAGCAACGCCGCGUGAGUGAUGAAGGUCUUCGGAUCGUAAAACUCUGUUAUUAGGGAAGAACAUAUGUGUAAGUAACUGUGCACAUCUUGACGGUACCUAAUCAGAAAGCCACGGCUAACUACGUGCCAGCAGCCGCGGUAAUACGUAGGUGGCAAGCGUUAUCCGGAAUUAUUGGGCGUAAAGCGCGCGUAGGCGGUUUAAGUCUGAUGUGAAAGCCCACGGCUCAACCGUGGAGGGUCAUUGGAAACUGGAAAACUUGAGUGCAGAAGAGGAAAGUGGAAUUCCAUGUGUAGCGGUGAAAUGCGCAGAGAUAUGGAGGAACACCAGUGGCGAAGGCGACUUUCUGGUCUGUAACUGACGCUGAUGUGCGAAAGCGUGGGGAUCAAACAGGAUUAGAUACCCUGGUAGUCCACGCCGUAAACGAUGAGUGCU
rnacentral:rRNA from 1 species